ACCAUGCUGUUGGCCUUUAUUUGCAUUAUGUGUUGAACCUUCACAAGGCCACCAUGAGAGGAUUCUCUGGACUUUCUGAACAAACUCAGAACAACCAGCCAAGAUACUCCUCGAAUUGGAAAAUUUGUAGAGAACAAUGUUCCCCUUUAGAACAUUUCCUCUGAAGAUAAUUGAUUUUCAAUGAAUACCUUCCCAGAAGAGGUAUUUUGCUGCUGGCAGACGGAAUGAGUUCUUUCGAGAAUGGAAAUAAAGGGGAUCAGUGCCUUUCCUUACCUGAGUGUUGAAUUGGGUUCCUCACUUCCUGGCCAGCUUCCUCCAUUAGACGACUACCUGACUGGGACCAAUCAGAUCUUUGGGUAG
rnacentral:lncRNA from 12 species